UUCUAGAAGAGGUAUACAGAGGUAAAGACU
rnacentral:piRNA from 1 species